GCUUUAGAUAACGCAAAUGACAAAACUCAAAAUAGUCAAACUCUUUCCACUUCCACUCCUCCGUCUACUCUCACACUCCACCAGGACCGCCACUCUCUCCCUCCUCCUCCGCCGUCGCAACAUGGCCACCGUCGCGUCAUCCGAUUCCCCCAUAAGUCCGUCAAACACCCGGGUCGGGUGGAUCGGGACCGGCGUUAUGGGCCGGUUCAUGUGCACCCACCUCCUCAAGGCCGGCUACGCCUUCACCGUCUUCAACCGCACCCUCUCCAAGGCCCAGCCUCUAGUCGACCUCGGGGCCCACCUGGCCGACUCCCCAAGCGCCGUCGCCUCCAAAUCCGACGUCGUCUUUUCCAUCGUCGGCUACCCCUCCGACGUCCGCUCCGUCCUCCUCGACCCCACCACCGGCGCACUCUCCGGACUCCGCCCCGGAGGCAUCCUUGUCGACAUGACCACCUCCGAACCCUCCCUCGCCGUCGAGAUCUCCUCCGCCGCUGAGUCCAAAUCCUGCUCAGCUGUCGAUGCCCCCGUCACCGGCGGCGACGUUGGCGCCAAGAACGGAACUCUUGCGAUCCUCGCCGGCGGCGACGAAAACACCGUCCGCAAGCUAACCCCUCUGUUCUCUCUCAUGGGCAAAGUGAAUUAUAUGGGCGGCGCCGGAAAGGGACAGUUCGCGAAGCUGGCGAACCAGACGAUCAUCGCUUCCACGAUGGUGGGUCUGGUGGAGGGUAUGAUCUUCGCCCACAAGUCCGGCCUCGACGUGGGUCUUUUCCUAGAUGCGAUCAAAGUGGGCGCCGCAGGGUCGAAGUCGCUGGAUUUGUACGGCGGCCGGAUUCUGAAGAGGGAUUUGGAGCCGGGAUUCUAUGUGAACCACUUCGUGAAAGAUUUGGGGAUUUGCUUGAAGGAGUGCCAGAAGAUGGGACUUGCUCUUCCCGGAUUAGCCCUAGCUCAGCAGCUUUAUCUGUCGCUGAAGGCUCACGGCGAGGGCAAUUUGGGAACUCAGGCGCUUAUUGUGGCGGUGGAGCGGCUGAAUAAUGUGUCACUUGAAUACGCUCCUGCAAAAUAAUGACUCUGCAAGUGCAGUUUGAAUCAUUUCUUAUGAUGGUGAGAUAACAGGUUCAGUCGUAUGAGCUCAGUGCAAGCCUGACACGAGAUCUCUGUUUGAAAUAUCAGGGAGGGCACACACGGUGGUCACGCCCAAAUUUAGUGGAUGAAGAGCCUAAGACAGCUAUGCAAUUUUCAGUUUUGUUUCGAGGCGCUUGAAGAGCAGUACAUAGUAGAGACACGAAGCUCGCAACAACCAUGUCGAAAGAAGAUGGGUAAACUCAAUCAGUUUGAUUUUCCUAGGUUAACUAUUAAGAUCAUUGUUAUAGUCUGGCUGGUUUACUAGUUCCAAAUAACUAUUUGAAGGUUAUAUUUUCGGGAUUGUACGUUAUACUCCGGCCGGAUAACUAGUUCGAGGAUGAUUGUUACUUUCGUGUUUGCAUUAAUGUGAAAUUAGUUAGCCUUCAUAUACA